rnacentral:rRNA from 1 species
CGCAUCUGUGCAUGCAGCAUAUCAAUAAGCGGAGGAAAAGAAACUAACAAGGAUUCCCCUAGUAACGGCGAGUGAAGCGGGAAGAGCUCAAAUUUGAAAUCUUAAAGGGUUUCCCUUUACGAAUUGUAGUUUAAAGAAGUGUUUUCUGUUGAGGUUUUGGUAAAAGUUCUUUGGAAUAGGACAUCAUAGAGGGUGAGAAUCCCGUAUUUGACCUUUACUUUCAACUUUGUGAUACACUUUCAAAGAGUCGGAUUGUUUGGGAAUGCAGUCCAAAAUGGGUGGUAAAUUUCAUCUAAAGCUAAAUAUUGGCGAGAGACCGAUAGCGAACAAGUACCGUGAGGGAAAGAUGAAAAGAACUUUGAAAAGAGAGUUAAACAGUACGUGAAAUUGUCAAAAGGGAAGCGUUUGACACCAGUGUUGUUUUUCUGAAAAUCAAUUAAAGAACUGUUUAUGCUAAGCUGUUUAGACUUUAUCAGCUAACUGUUUAGUUUUGAGCUUUUCUUUAAUGCACUUUUCAGUUAACAAGUCAACAUCAAUUUCUUUUGCUGUAAAAAAGCUUGAGGAAGGUGGCUUGAGAUUCGUCUUAAGUGUUUAUAGCCUCUUGCCUAUGCAGUCGGAGAGAUUGAGGUCUGCAGCGUAGAUCCUUCGGGGCUAAAUGCAUUUGUGCUAAGUUAUAGCAUUUUAUAGACAACCUUGUUGACUAUGAUUUGUCUUGUAGCUUACUCGCUUAUGUUAUUUUACCUACGCUUAGGAUGUUGAGUCAUCACACAUCUCU